rnacentral:rRNA from 1 species
UGGAAGUAAAAGUCGUAACAAGGUUUCCGUAGGUGAACCUGCGGAAGGAUCAUUACUGAGUACCGGGUCUCUCAGGCCCUUACUCCCACCCUUUGUGUACCUUACCAAAUUUCAGUUGCCUUGGUGGGACUCUAUCCCCUUAGAUUAGUUUCUAAUCCUUAGGCAGAGCCCACCAUUGGAACUCUAUUAAACUCUUGUGAAUUGAGUUGUCUGAGAACAAAAACAAAUAAAUUAAAACUUUCAACAACGGAUCUCUUGGUUCUGGCAUCGAUGAAGAACGCAGCGAAAUGCGAUAAGUAAUGUGAAUUGCAGAAUUCAGUGAAUCAUCGAAUCUUUGAACGCACAUUGCGCCCUUUGGUAUUCCGAGGGGCAUGUCUGUUCGAGCGUCAUUUCAACCCUCAAGCUUUUGCUUGGUAUUGGGCUUCAUCCUGCCUAAAGGAUGUGCCUAAAACUCAUUGGCGGUUGCACUUAGCUCCCUUGCGUAGUUAUUUUUUUCUCGCUUGGAAAUUUAGGUGUAACCCGCCUGAGAACCCCCAUAUAUCUUAAGGUUUGACCUCGGAUCAGAUAGGGAUACCCGCUGAACUUAAGCAUAUCAAUAAGCGGAGGAA